UCCCUGCCCCGCAGCCCCGCGCCGAGCCGGCUCCUAGCGCGCGCCGCGGCCGCAGAACGCCCCGGAACGCAAAGGGCGGGCUGCGCGCCGCGGGGGAACGGGGCCGGAAGGACGUGGCGGCAGCGCGGUUUGGCGGGAAACGGUUGCUAGGGGCCCUUAGCAACGGCACGCGCCGGCCUGCAGCGCGCGGCCUUUCGCCCUCAGCUCCUGGAACCUUUAGCGUUUCCUGCCCGGUACUUUUUUUUUCACCGAGUGUACGUAACUGCAUGUUAUGGCUGACGCCGAGAGCUGGGGGAUUUUGUCACGGGCAUUCUGGUAAGAACAGUUCUUACUGUAUGUCAGUAGAAAAUGCAAAAGCCUCCUUUGACUUUUGAAGAAUUCCUCCAGUCUCAAGACUUGAAGGACUGGCCAAGAGAUGUCUUUUUGGAUGAGCCUUAUUCUUUGGUGGAUAACUUAAGAAAAGACUGUUCCAUCCGUGCUGUCUCUAAGAGUCUGUAUGAACAUGCUCCAUUGACCUUCAGUUCACUCUCAGAUUUGGAGAAGAGAAUGAACACAUGCCUUAUUGUACUAAAGAAACAUGCUGAAAGAAUAUUUUCAUUACAGUGUGGACCAGCGUCUCUUGAAGAACAGCUAAUUGCUCCUGAACAGAAGAUUCCUACUGAGCAAACUGAUUCAGAAGAACUUCUGACUUGGAAGAGUGAGAUGAGGAAAACAAAGGUGGGAGACCUGAAGAAAAGAUGUCUGGAAUUCUAGUUUGGAAUAUCUUGGCUCUGAGUUGUCAUUACCCUGGUUUCAAGGCAAAACACCUUUUAGAAUUACCAAGACAUUUGGAAGCUUCAAAACUUUGAGACUUAGUUGUAAAAGCUCAACAUUGCCAAAAGGAUGCUCUUGAAGUCUGGAGAAGUUUUUUUCCUCUCAGAAUCAUCUGUUGCAGUGUUUCAGGAUUUGUUUUGGUGGUGAUUUCUCCAAAAGUUUAAGCCUAAUGAGGAAGAUCAGGACCACUUUUUGGACAGCAUCAUGGAAAGCUUUGUGGCGCUUUUUAGUCCUGUUCUCAGGGAUAAUAAAGAUUCUUUUUUUCAGGUGUAUCCUGAUUGCUUGUCGCAAGUCAUUUAUAUCACUUCCUGUGAAGCAUUUCCUGAAUCCCUUAGAAGAUUUGAUGAUGAUUCUAUGGACAGAUUGGUAGAGUUAAUUUUUCAAUGGAUAUGAGGUCUAAGGCCAAGGAAAUGUGUAUGGAAUAAGUGGAAUCUUUAAGGUUACCACUGUAAAUUGUAGAAGCGAAGGUGCUACUGCUGACAUACAAACUAGUGAAUCUGCCAGCUCUGCAGCAGCUCGAAACCCUUACUGCGCUGGUGACUGAGCAACGGAACUCUCCUCAGACUAUCCUUCCUUGGAGACCCUCCAAAUCCAAGUGGACGUGGCUGUGGGCAGCCUGUUUUUGGUGGCCCUGCUGAGCAAGGGGGUUUGGACCAGAGGUGCCUUCCAACCUUGAGCAUUCUCUCAUUUUGUGAUUCUGUAUUGGACUUCGGUUUGAAAACAUUGUGAACUUUGUGACAAGUAUAUGCAUUAUACUUCAUUCUCAUCAGGAAGUAAUUUUCUCUGAGUUGAGCCCUUUUUUCCUCCUCUAUAUUAUGAGUCAAUCUUGUCAAGUGCCAGGACUCUUAGUAAAAGCAUUUCCUAAUGAAAGAAACCUAUUUUGGUGAGCUAUCAUCUGCCUUCUAAACAGAGUUGGAGAAAACCUAUUUUUUAUGUCUGGAAUCUAAGCAGGUUUCGAAUUGUCUGGAAUGCUUGAGAUUUACAAGCUAGCUUUCCUCAGCCAGGUAUUGCGAAGUUCUUUACAGAGCUUAGGUUUUAACACUUGAUGGGUUUCAGUUGCCGUAUGACUGAUUUGCAAAUCAAUCAAUUUGCAAUCAAUUUGGUUUGCAAAUUUUUCUAAUCAAAAUCUGCAGCGCUUUUUUAUAUAAGACUAUUCAAAUAUUUCUGGAUUUCUGCUUUGAAGACAGUUCUAAAUGAAAGGUAUUGUGAAAAUUGAUACACUGGGUGGAUCUGAUCCUGCUUUCUGUUAAACUUUUCCACUCUGUACUAGAGUAGAACAAACUAGGAUGUGUUCCAGCCUUUAAGACUGUUUGUUAAAAUGCCAGAAAAAAAAUUGAAGAGAAUCCAUGAACAAGGGCAAAAUUCUGAUUUUUUUCUCAAUUACUACAUCUCUGUUACUAGGUCAGCGUAAUGAAGGUAUUGCAACAUGCUAGGCCAUAUGACUGUGUGCUACUGCAGGGAUUUGAGCUGGGGCAUCUUUUCCUGAACCAUUCACCUAUGGGCUGUAUGUCAGAUAUGACAGUAAAAUGUAAACCAGCUUUGGCUUACCUAAUAAGGAUGGUAGUAUAAUAAUCCAUUAUAUAAAACAUAGAGCAGUACGUGCAAAUUACCUUUGGGAUUCAAGAAUUGCUUGACUGUAUGCUUAUAUUCUUGCACAACCUAAUCAAAAGAUCUUUAGAAGAACCUCUCUGUAUCUAAUUUAAGCGCUUUUUUUGGCAUAUGUUUGCAUAUGAAUGUACAUACUUGCACACAAGUUUAAACUUCAGUUGAGCUUUUAAGCACAGUCUUGUAGGAGAUUUUGCUCUUUCCAUUUUUAUUUCAAAGCUUCAUCUAAGCUGAUUUGUAUCUAGAAACUUUUGCUAGUAUAUUAAUGUUGAUUGUGAAUAGGAACUUUAUUUCAGUGUUUAUGUAUUCACAGAGAAGCGCAGACGGUUUUCAGCAAAAAAUAUUCUCGGAUAGUACAGACUAUUGUUUCCCCUGAACAAGCAAUAGAUAAAGCAGCAGAAGCACAGUGGAGGUUUACUGAUGUAGUUGUAUUGACAAAUUUUCUGCAUUGUCUCGUUCAUACCUACACUUCAAUUUUUGAUAUGACUAAGUCAAAAUCCACAAGUAAUUUCCAAAUUAUAAUAUUCAAUAAGCAAAUAUUGUUAAAUAUAUACAUAUUUCUUAAAGAGAAUUGUUGCAGGCAGUUCUGUGUGAGUGCAGUUACAAAGGUGUCUCAAUAUGUAGAAAAAAUGUUUGUGUCUACAUACCUGUGCUGAAAAGUAGAGCAUUUAAGUCCAUUAGUAAUUAGACUCCAUCCCAAGUUGGUAAUGAUCAUGCAACAGCUGUUUUAGCUAAAUUUUGGUGAUCUUUGAGCACAAAUCACAAUGCUGAGAAAACUUGUAGGCAAACUGAACAGAAUGAAGUAACUCUUCAGGCACGUAGGGCUUAGUUGAACACUUUGAUACCUAGAGAAGUAAAAUAUCUCUUCUUCAUCAUGUCACGUGGAUCUGGGCUGGUGUUUCAGAUUAGCCAUAUGGGUUCUUACACUGCUCUGUGAGCAUAGGUUCCACCAUCUGAGGAUUUAUUCUGCAACUUUCUUUUACCUAGUAUAACUCUGAGCUGCUAUUAAAUCAACUUGAGUGUGUGGCAAAGAUUUUUUACGUUUU